GUUUCAUGACCCCUAAGUAAACCCACUAAAUGCACACAUGAAUCAUCUUCUUGCUUGGCCAGAUCCUGUAAAGACCCCAUAUAUUAUGGAAAGAAUGAAGAUUAAAAAUUACUACAAAACAUUAGGAAAAGUCUUUUUGUGGCUACCAAUGGAAAUGAUUGAUGAAGUCAACAAAGAAUGAAAAGUCUGUCAAGCCAAAGAAACUCAGGACACCAUUACCUGGGGGUUAGGCCCUGUCGACCAUAAUACCGUAUACUAUUUUGCUCAUUGUGCCACAGUCGUCAUAUCUGUUUUGGUUGCAUUUCUUAAUUUACCAUUGGGACUAAUAUGGUAGUCCUGGCCAUACCCUCCCAACAGGACACGAUGUCAAUUUAAGGCAUAGAGAUAUUUAACAUGAUGUCCUCUAAACAGAAUGGUUUGAACAGUCAGAAACAUGUGACCCGGCCAAUAUUAUCUUUGAAAAGACAAUGAAGAUAGUUUGAUGAUUGAUUAACUGGAAAUAAGAUGGAGGAAGAGACUGAUCACAGUGAUGGGAUGCUACCGCAGUCACCAAAAUAAAGGAUUGCAAGUUCCAAAUUUAACACUGUGAGGUGGGAAUAGAGUGGUUAGAUGGGAAAGUCAUGUUCACACAUGAGAAAUUAGAGAAUUUAUUG